UUCUCUUUCUUUUUCCAUUUUCCUUUUCUUACCUUCCUUUUACCCUUCCCCGAACUCUCUCUCUUACAACCACCAUGGCCACUGCCGUCAACCACCUCCCUCCAACGACCUUUGCCACCUAUGGCGAAGCCGAGGUCACGAAUGGAACUCAAUGGCAGAGAGCUCUAUGCUCUUUGCCUUGAUUCUUCAGAUCCAAUAGAAAGUGAUGAAGAAAGGCCAACAGCAGUAGCUUGAGAAUGAAGAUCAAUUUUGAUUUUUUGUAUCCUCUUAAAAAUUGUACUUGUAAUGCUAAAAAAAUGUAUGAAUACGAAACAAUUUGAGGCUUGCAUGUGUGAGACCAUUAAGCGUAUUUUUUUUUUUUUUUUUUCCUUCUAUUAGAAUAUUUUGACGUCUUGUUUAGAUGAAGGAUUUUGUUUAAGAAAAUAUAAUUAAAAGAAUUAUUUUUAUUAUAUUUUUGCCGUAUCAAAUACUUUUAAAAGUAAAAAUUUUCCCUAAUAUGACUAGCUAAUCAAGAAAAAUUAAAUAUGACCUUGAUGACUCUCAGCAACCUCUUGAACUAACUAGCAAGUUGGCUAGGCAUAGUGGUCAGUCUAAUCGGCAUACUGUUAACUGUUAAGCCACCCAUGUACAUCACCACAUUCUAUGCAACCAACUCUAUAGCAUUCCUCGCAAUCCAGUAUUCCUUCAGGGCUAUCUAGACAACCAACCCAGCUUGAAGUUCAGCCUAGGAAAUCUUUUGAGCCUUCAGAACAUCACUAGCAUGCUGUUUCAGGUGACCAACAUGAUAACAUCAAGUUGGACUCUCCAAUCAAUGCUCAGAUAAUAGAUGAUUCAAAUGUAUGCAAGACACGAGGCUUUACUCAUAUGUCAGAGAUAUAGAAUACGCCUCGUGGGUUGUGUAGCCCAAAGGCGGGACCCAACCUGGCUGGCCGACCAGAGUAAGUCAACUGAACUCUAAUAGUCAGAUUGGCCCCCUCAACCCAUAUCUGAUGGGAAGCCUAUCCACAACAUAGGCACGAUCGACUUCUGAAUACCACCUAUUAUCUGAAUAGGGGUUGCACUCUGAACUGAAUAUAGCUAUGGUACCGUGCUCUGCUGCUGAAUAUGGUCCAUCAGGGUCUAAUACUAUAUACGUAACUGAUAUUUCUAAAAUACUGUUUUUACCAUGAUUUUGUAACAACUGAAAUAACCAUAACAUUACAUAUAUUGAGCUGAAUAAAUUGUAAUAA